AUUGAACGCUGGCGGCAUGCCUUACACAUGCAAGUCGAACGGCAGCGGGGGAGAAGCUUGCUUUUCCUGCCGGCGAGUGGCGAACGGGUGAGUAAUACAUCGGACCGUGCCCUGUAGUGGGGGAUAACUAGUCGAAAGAUUAGCUAAUACCGCCUACGACCUGAGGGUGAAAGUGGGGGACCGCAAGGCCUCAUGCUAUAGGAGCGGCCGAUGUCUGAUUAGCUAGUUGGUGGGGUAAAGGCCUACCAAGGCGACGAUCAGUAGCUGGUCUGAGAGGACGAUCAGCCACACUGGGACUGAGACACGGCCCAGACUCCUACGGGAGGCAGCAGUGGGGAAUUUUGGACAAUGGGCGAAAGCCUGAUCCAGCAAUGCCGCGUGUGUGAAGAAGGCCUUCGGGUUGUAAAGCACUUUUGUCCGGAAAGAAAUGGCUCUGGUUAAUACCUGGGGUCGAUGACGGUACCGGAAGAAUAAGGACCGGCUAACUACGUGCCAGCCGCCGCGGUAA
rnacentral:rRNA from 1 species